rnacentral:rRNA from 1 species
UACCUUUGCCGGCGACCGGCGCACGGGUGCGUAACGCGUAUGCAACCUACCUUUAACAGGGGCAUAACACUGAGAAAUUGGUACUAAUUCCCCAUAACAUUCGAGAAGGCAUCUUCUUGGGUUAAAAACUCCGGUGGUUAAAGAUGGGCAUGCGUUGUAUUAGCUAGUUGGUGAGGUAACGGCUCACCAAGGCAACGAUACAUAGGGGGACUGAGAGGUUAACCCCCCACAUUGGUACUGAGACACGGACCAA